GCUGUCUUGGGAAGUUGCCUUGUUUUCUCUUUGCCUUCCGCCAUGGUUGUAAGUUUUCUGAGGCCUCCCCAGCCAUGCUGAACUGGGUAUAGAGAAAGGAGGAAGUAUAUCACCGCUAUGCCUACAUUAUCAGUAAAAUAUCUUUUAUGAAGGGUCUCACUCUGUCACUCUUGCUGGAGUGCAGCAGCAUGACCAUGGCUCACUACAGCGUUGACACCCGGGUCUUAAGCAAUCCUCCCGCUUCAGCCUCUCCAGUAGCUUGGACUACAGGCAUGGGCCACCACACCCAGCUAUUUUUUGUAUUUUUAGUAGAGGUGGGGUUAUGCCAUGUUGUAAGAUGUUUUUUUCCAUAGCAGCAAUGGCUAUAACCUAAUGGGUAUGUAUCAUGCUACAUUGUAAUUCCCCCUUAAUUGUUCUGUUUCCCCUUUUAAUCAGUCAUUCUUUAAGUACAGGCAUCGACUUGUUCAACAUUGUGUCCAUAAUUCUGAGAAAACUACAUUAGUUAGUGAGGCUUGCAUUAUAGACUCAAUGUAGAAAGUAAAAACUAUAAAAAAGAGUACAGGAGAAUAUAAUUCAAUGAAAAUCUGGAUCUUUGUCCAGUUAAAGCCAAGAGUCUGUUUGGUACCUGGGAAGUAAAAGACUAGAUUAUAAAGGGCAGUGAAAGUUGGAGUUUCGAUGUAGUGAGGAAUAAAAUCAUUGUAAAGGGCAGCAUAAUAUGGAGAUAGACAAUAAAUGUAGUGUCUAAAUAAAAAUCUGGGAGCCUCAUAGAAGGAUUGAUUGGAGCAGAGGAUGCUGGAGGGUAGCUAGAGCAGUAUUGACUACAUUGGGAGAAAUUCAAGCAAUGGAUGCCAUUCUCAUUACCAUGGAUGACGUUUAUUGAGAGGUUGCUGUGAGCCAUUAUGUUUCACAACUAUCAAUUUAUUUUCCAUGAGACUAACAUUAUUAGUCUAAUUCUAGAAGCAAGGAAACAUGACACAUAUGAAGUGUGGUAGGGAUCCUCUAAAACAAUUCUCGAUGGUCCUGCCAUUUUAAUAUCCAUACCCUUAUGUAAUCUCUCUCCUUGAGUUUUGGUUAGAUUUACUGACUGUUCUAACAACAAAGACCAUGGCAGAAAUGAUUGAAUGUCAUUCCCAAGAUUAGACUAUAAAAGACUGCAAUUUCCGUUUUGAAAGCUUUCUCUCAUUCUCUCUUUGGAUCACUUGCUCUAGGAAAAUUAGCUGCCAUAGUAUGUAGAAGCAGACCUCACAGAGAGCCAUGUGAGUGAGCUUGGAAACAAGACCUACCAUUCCCCAGUCACCUCUUCUUCAAAUCUUAGAAUAGCUACAAGCAAGCCCCAAUGAAUACCUUGUUGCAGUCUUAAGAGAUUAUCUUAAGCCGAAACCACUCAGCUCAGCUGCCCUAAGAUGUCUGAUUUACAGGAAAAAAAAGUAAAUGAUAAAUGCUUUUCUGUUUUAAGCAGCUAAAUAUUGGGGUGAAUUGUUACAUAGUAAUGAAAAACUAAUAUAGUAAGUGACAUAGAGGGGAUUUAAACCCAGGCUGAUUAGUGUAUACGAGAAUCAGUGGUUUUAAGUUCACAGCAAAAUUGAGAAGAAGGUACAAGGAGUCUCUGCAGCAAUACAUGCAUAGCCUCCCCCAUUAUCAGAGUGGUACAUUUGUCACAAUCAAUGAAUUUACAUGGACAAACUAUUGUCACUCCAAGUUCAUAGUUUAUAUUAGGGCUCACUCUUGAUGUUGUACAUUUUAUGGGUUUAGAAAAAUGUGUAAUUAUAUGUAUUCAUCAUUAGAGUAUAUUUUCUUCCCUAAAAAUCUUGUGUGUUCCACAGGACAUCUUGGUUGGUUCCAAGUUUCGGCAAUGAUUAAUAAAGCUGUGAUAACUAUUGUUUGCAGAUUUUUCUGUAGGCAUAAGUUUUAAACUCCUUUGGUCAAACACCAAAGAGUGUGACUGCUAAAUCACAUGAUAAGAGUAUGUUUCCUUUUCUAAGAAACCACCAAACUGUCUUUUAAAGUAGUAUGUAGUGAUAUCUCAUAUUUUAAAUUUGUAUUUCCCUGAUGACAUAUGAUGAGCAGCAUGUUUUUAUAUGUUUAUUUGCCAUCUGUAUAUUUUAUUUUAUGAUAUGUCUAUUAAGGCCUGUAACCCAUUUUAAAGUCAGAUUGUAUAAUUUCCUAUUGUUGACUUUUAAGAGUUUUUUGUAUAUUUUGGAUAAUAGUAUUUUAUCAGAUGUUAUUAGA